ensembl:lncRNA
GAAUCCUACCUGCAGUUAGUAACUGUAAAAGCAAUGGAAUAAAACCAUUUCUCUCUAGUUUUCAUAAACAGUUCAGUGUGUAGAGAAGUUCCACUUGUGAGUGUGGAAUUAUGUUUUCUGAACCUACUUUCUAAAAAGUUAAUAAGCAUUCUUCUAGAUCAGUUUUAGCUUCCUGGCAAAACUGAGAGGCAAGUACAGAGUUCCCAUACAUCCCUCUCCCUCCACACACAGCUCACACUACCAUCAGAAUCCUACUGCCUAGUGAUACAUCACUACAAUCAACGCACCUACACUGACACAGCGUCAGCACCCCCACACCCAUAGCUGACUCUGGAAUUCACUCUUAGUGUUCCACAUUCUAGGGGCUAUGGCCACUGUGUGAUGACAGGUAGCCAUGGCUACACUAAAAGACGAUGAAUAGUUCUACUGCCUGCUUUGGUCUGAACAGGUCGAAGUGUGUGCCUCAAAUGGUCCCAACUGUGGCAAUGCAAGAUAUUCAGCAUAUUCACUUUCCUACCUGAUGGGAUACUGGCUGAAUGAUUGACAGACGGGCUGGUGCGUGGACCCAGGCGGCGCGCUCAGGGCUGGGCAGACGUGAUUAUCAUCGCCCCUGCUGUAGUCCAUCAGAGCCGGGUGUUAGCAGGGCAUUGCUUUUUGACAGGACAUCAAGGAACCAGGGCGACGCUGAAAAUGUGAAAAUGAUUUCUCAUGCUCCGUGGACACUCGCGGGGAAAGGACCAUUCGUGGAUAGUCCAGAAUCUCCCUUACCAUCUACUCAGCCCCACGCUCCCCGAUCUUCCUGGAUUUCAAGUAAGUCUCAGUCCUUACAGGUGUUUAUGAGGCUGGGGGCUCCAGCUCCACCUCGUCGCCUUCCUCCCUCUCUGUGGCCUCACACUGUGCCUGUGUCCUGUGGGCACCCUCCCCGAAAAGAGCCCUGGGCUUGCAGCUCCCUCUGCAUAGUGCUAUCCUGUCCCCUAUGAGCUUGGCUGCUUCCCCCAAAAUCAUCUUCUCAGCAAAGCCUUCCUUGCCUGUUCCCUGCUAACUGGCAGCCCUCCUCCCCAGGGGCCCUGGUGAUGGGUUUCCUUUGUAACUCCCACCCUGUGGGAGUUGAUCUAUUGACCUCCUCUAUUAAUUUCUCCCUCCACUAGGAAGCGACCUCUAAAGGAGAGAUUUGCUCUAUUUGGUUUGCUUUACUGAUGAAUCCUCAGCCCUUGGCAUAGCUCUUGGAAUAUACGAGGUGGUACUCACUAAGUGUUUGUUGAUCGAAUGCAUGAUGGUGUCUUAUGUUUGUAUUUGUUGUAUCUGCUGACCCUACUUCUUGGAGUAAGAAAGUUGGUUGUGGGGCCAGUGUUGUGGCAUAGUAGGUAAAGCUGCUGCCUGCAAUGCCAGAGUCCCAUAUGGGUGCCGGUUUGAGUCCUGGCUGCUCCACUUCUGAUCCAACUCCCUGCUAAUGGCUUGGGAAAGCAGCAGAAGAUGGCCCAGGCCCUUGGGCCCCUGCACCUGCUUUGGAGAACCGGAAGAAGCUCCUGGCUCCUGACUUCAGUCUGGUCCAGCCCUGAGUGUUGUAACCUUUUGGGGAGUGAACCAGAGAUUGGAAGAUGUCUCUGUCUCUUCUUCUCUCUGUAACUCUGCUUUUCAAAUAAAUGAAAUAAAUCUUUUAAAAAGAAAGAGAAC